rnacentral:rRNA from 1 species
CCCGCUCAGAACUUAAAGGAAGUUGACGGGGCCGCACAAGCGGAGGAGCAUGUGGUUAAUUCGAUGAUACGCGAGGAACCUUACCUGGGCUCGAACGUAAGAUGACUGUAGGUGAAAGCUUACAUCUCUUCGGAGCAUUUUACGAGGUGCUGCAUGGUUGUCGUCAGCUCGUGCCGUGAGGUGUCGGGUUAAGUCCCAUAACGAGCGCAACCCCUACCUUUAGUUGCCAUCAGGUAAUGCUGGGGACUCUAAAGGAACUGCCUACGCAAGUAGUGAGGAAGGCGGGGAUGACGUCAAAUCAGCACGGCCCUUACGUCCAGGGCUACACACGUGCUACAAUGGCCGAUACAGAGGGCAGCUACCUGGUGACAGGAUGCAAAUCUCCAAAGUCGGUCUCAGUUCGGAUCGGAGUCUGCAACCCGACUCCGUGAAGUUGGAUUCGCUAGUAAUCGCGCAUCAGCCAUGGCGCGGUGAAUACGUUCCCGGGCCUU